rnacentral:rRNA from 1 species
CCCUUAGAUGAUUUGGGCUGCACGCGCGCUACACUGACCCUAACAAUGAGCAACUGUCUGGCCUGAGAUGGCUGGGUAGCCUUUUCAACCCAUGUCAUGAUUGGGCUAGAUUUUUGUAAGUCUUGAUCUCUAACGAGGAAUCCCUAGUAUGCGUGAAUCAUCAAUCCAUGCAGAUUAUGUCCCUGCCCUUUGUACACACCGCCCGUCGCUCCUACUGAUUGGGUGAUCCGGUGAGCUGUUCGGCCAUAGCAAUGUUUCUUGAGCAGGUCAAUGAAUGUUUCGCAAACCUUGCCACUUAGAGGAAGGAGAAGUCGUAACA